GAGGGGCUGCGGCCCAUCAGCUAGUUGGUGGGGUAAUGGCCCACCAAAGCGAUGACGGGUAGGGGGCUGAGAGGGUGGCCCCCCACAUGGGGACUGAGACACGGCCCCGACUCCUACGGGAGGCAGCAGUGGGGAAUCUUGGGCAAUGGGCGAAAGUCUGACCCAGCAACGCCGCGUGCGGGAAGAAGCCCUUCGGGGUGUAAACCGCUUUUCUGGGGGAAGAACCAGGUGGGGAGGAAAUGCCCCGCCCCUGACGGUACCCCAGGAAUAAGGGACGGCUAACUACGUGCCAGCAGCCGCGGUAAGACGUAGGUCCCGAGCGUUGCCCGGAUUUACUGGGCGUAAAGUGCGCGUAGGCGGUUCGGCAAGUCGCCCGUGAAAGCCCGGGGCUCAACUCCGGGAGGCCGGGCGAUACUGCCGGGCUAGAGGACGGCAGAGGAGGGUGGAGCGACCGGAGUAGCGGUGAAAUGCGUAGAUACCGGUCGAAAUCCCGAUGGCGAAGGCAACCCUCUGGGCCGGCCCUGACGCUGAGGCGCGAAAGCGUGGGGAGCGAACCGGAUUAGAUACCCGGGUAGUCCACGCCCUAAACGAUGCGGGCUAGGUGUUGGUCCGGACCUGGACCGGUGCCGCAGCUAACGCGUUAAGCCCGCCGCCUGGGCAGUACGGCCGCAAGGCUGAAACUCAAGGGAAUUGACGGGGUCCCACACAAGCGGUGGAGCAUGUGGUUUAAUUCGAUGCUAAACGAAGAACCUUACCCGGGCUUGACAUGCAGGUGGUACCGCCCCGAAAGGGAAGGGACCCCGGGCCGAAAGGCGCCGGGGAGCCUGCACAGGUGCUGCAUGGCUGUCGUCAGCUCGUGCCGUGGGGUGUUGGGUUAAGUCCCGGAACGAGCGCAACCCUUGCCACCAGUUGCCAGCGGGCCCUGCGGGGCGCCGGGGACUCUGGUGGGACUGCCGGGGAAUACCCGGAGGAAGGAGGGGAUGACGUCAAGUCCUCAUGGCCCUUAUGCCCGGGGCGACACACAUGCUACAGUGCCCGGUACAAUGGGACGCCAAGGGGCAACCCGGAGCCAAUCCCACCAAAGCCGGGCAUGGUUCGGAUUGCAGGCUGCAACCCGCCUGCAUGAAGA
rnacentral:rRNA from 1 species